rnacentral:tRNA from 1 species
GGGGAUGAAGUGUUACGGCAGCACAGCGGAUUCCAGACCCGCGGGCCGGGGUUCGACUCCUCGCAUCCCUG